rnacentral:tRNA from 1 species
CGCGGGGUAGAGCAGUGGCAGCUCGUCAGGCUCAUAACCUGAAGGUCGGUGGUUCGAUUCCCCCCCCCGCUACCA